rnacentral:rRNA from 1 species
CACGUAGGGUGCGAGCGUUGUCCGGAAUUAUUGGGCGUAAAGAGCUCGUAGGCGGUGUGUCGCGUCGGCCGUGAAAACCUGCAGCUUAACUGUGGGCUUGCGGUCGAUACGGGCAUCACUGGAGUUCGGCAGGGGAGACUGGAAUUCCUGGUGUAGCGGUGAAAUGCGCAGAUAUCAGGAGGAACACCCGUGGCGAAGGCGGUUCUCUGGGACGGUACUGACGCUGAGACGCGAAAGCGUGGGGAGCGAACAGG